rnacentral:rRNA from 1 species
AAUCAACGCUGGCGGCGUGCCUAACACAUGCAAGUCGCACGAGAAAGUGGAGCAAUCCAUGAGUAAAGUGGCGCACGGGUGAGUAACACGUGACUAACCUACCCUAGAGUGGGGGAUAACCUCGGGAAACCGGGGCUAAUACCGCAUAACCUCGUGAGGUGAAAUUCCUUGCGAGCAAAGCCGAAAGGCGCUUUUGGAGGGGGUCGCGGCUGAUUAGCUAGUUGGCGGGGUAACGGCCCACCAAGGCGAUGAUCAGUAUCCGGCCUGAGAGGGCGCACGGACACAUUGGAACUGAAACACGGUCCAGACUCCUACGGGAGGCAGCAGUGGGGAAUUUUGCGCAAUGGGGGAAACCCUGACGCAGCAACGCCGCGUGGAGGAUGAAGUCCCUUGGGACGUAAACUCCUUUCGACCCGGACGAAUAAUGACGGUACGGGUGGAAGAAGCCCCGGCUAACUUCGUGCCAGCAGCCGCCGUAACAC